rnacentral:rRNA from 1 species
CUGUAAGCCGUUGAAGGUGACCUGUGAGGGUUGCUGGAGGUAUCAGAAGUGCGAAUGCUGACAUAAGUAACGAUAAUGCGGGUGAAAAACCCGCACGCCGGAAGACCAAGGGUUCCUGUCCAACGUUAAUCGGGGCAGGGUGAGUCGACCCCUAAGGCGAGGCUGAAAAGCGUAGUCGAUGGGAAACAGGUUAAUAUUCCUGUACUUGGUGUUACUGCGAAGGGGGGACGGAGAAGGCUAGGCUAGCCGGGCGACGGUUGUCCCGGUUUAAGCAUGUAGGCGGAGUGACUUGGUAAAUCCGGUUGCUUAUCAACGCUGAGGUGUGAUGACGAGCCACUACGGUGGUGAAGUAGUUGAUGCCAAGCUUCCAGGAAAAGCCUCUAAGCAUCAGGUAACAUUAAAUCGUACCCCAAACCGACACAGGUGGUCAGGUAGAGAAUACUCAGGCGCUUGAGAGAACUCGGGUGAAGGAACUAGGCAAAAUGGUGCCGUAACUUCGGGAGAAG